UAGGACACUCCUGAGCCAUGUGUCCCUCCUGCCCACAUCUGAAGCAGGCUGUCGUCCCAACCAGACACACUCCCUUGUGCGGCCUCCCACACUUCUUGCAUACUGCAUUAUCUGCACCAGAGCUUGAGCCACUCCCUAAUCCCAGACCUGACUUGAUCUUAUUCCAGAACUUGUUCUUCUUUGGCUUCUUGGUGGUACUGCUCCACCUCUUGUUGCCUGAAGCUGCUGCACUUAAAGAAGAAGAGCCUGGGGUCUUAGAACUAGAAGGCUGUGCCACUGACUGCUUAACCAUCCCCUGAAUGAUGGCAC
rnacentral:lncRNA from 1 species